rnacentral:rRNA from 1 species
UAGUCUACGCCGUAAACGAUGGAUACUAGCUGUUCGGAACUUGCUUCUGAGUGGCCAAGCGAAAGUGAUAAGUAUCCCACCUGGGGAGUACGUUCGCAAGAAUGAAACUCAAAGGAAUUGACGGGGGCCCGCACAAGCGGUGGAGCAUGUGGUUUAAUUCGAUGAUACGCGAGGAACCUUACCAGGGCUUAAAUGCACUAUGACAGGGGUAGAGAUACCCUUUUCUUCGGACAGAGUGCAAGGUGCUGCAUGGUUGUCGUCAGCUCGUGCCGUGAGGUGUCAGGUUAAGUCCUAUAACGAGCGCAACCCUUGCCGUCAGUUGCCAGCAGGUAAAGCUGGGGACUCUGACGGGACUGCCGGUGCAAACCGAGAGGAAGGUGGGGACGACGUCAAAUCAUCACGGCCCUUACGUCCUGGGCUACACACGUGCUACAAUGGCCGGUACAAUGAGCAGCCACGCCGUAAGGCGGAGCGAAUCUAAAAAACCGGUCACAGUUCGGAUCGGGGUCUGCAACUCG